UACGGAGGGUGCAAGCGUUGCUCGGAGUUAUUGGGCGUAAAGGGCAGGUAGGUGGUCUCAUUUGUCUGGGGUGAAAGCCUUGAGCUUAACUCAAGAAGUGCCCCAGAAACGGUGAGACUGGAGUCCUGGAGAGGGUCGUGGAAUUCCCGGUGUAGCGGUGAAAUGCGUAGAGAUCGGGAGGAACACCAGAGGCGAAGGCGGCGACCUGGACAGGCACUGACACUCAACUGCGAAAGCGUGGGGAGCAAACAGG
rnacentral:rRNA from 1 species